GUGGUUCAGUGGUAGAAAGCUCGCCUGCCACGUGGGCGGCCCGGGUUCGAUUCCCGGCCG
rnacentral:tRNA from 1 species